rnacentral:rRNA from 1 species
CCACCGCGGUUAUACGAGGGGCCCAAGCUGACAACACCUCGGCGUAAAGAGUGGUUAAAAGAAUAACAAACUAAAGCCGAAUGCUCUCUAUGCUGUUAUACGCUCUCGAGAGCUAGAAGCUCUAUCACGAAAGUAGCUUUAUAGUAUUGAAUCCACGAAAGCUAAGAAACAAACUGGGAUUAGAUACCCCACUAUGCUUAGCCUUAAACUUAGAUAAUAGAUUACCUAAAUUAUCCGCCUGGGGACUACGAGCACUAGCUUAAAACCCAAAGGACUUGGCGGUGCUUAAUAACCCCCUAGAGGAGCCUGUUCUAGAACCGAUAACCCUCGUUAAACCUCACCCUUUCUCGUCUAUUCCGCCUAUAUACCGCCGUCGUCAGCUUACCCUGUGAAGGCCUUUUAGUAAGCAUAAUUAGUACAAACCCAAAACGUCAGGUCGAGGUGUAGCAUACGAAAGGGGAAGAAAUGGGCUACAUUUCCUGAAAUCAGGAUAUACGAAUAAUGUUUUGAAAAAGGCACUAGAAGGAGGAUUUAGAAGUAAGAAGGGAAUAGAGUGCCCUACUGAAAUUGGCCCUUAAGCGCGCACACACCGCCCGUCACUCUCCCUAAGAAAAACAAUAAUAUAAUUAAUUAACUAUAAUAACAAAGGGGAGGCAAGUCGUAACAUGGUAAGUG